GUCCCUGUAGCGCAAUGGAUAGCGCGUUGGAUUUCUAAUCGGAAGGCAGUGGGCUCGAAUCCCAACAGGGAUG